rnacentral:rRNA from 1 species
CGCAUCUGUGCAUGCAGCAUAUCAAUAAGCGGAGGAAAAGAAACUAACAAGGAUUCCCCUAGUAACGGCGAGUGAAGCGGGAAGAGCUCAAAUUUGAAAUCUUAAAGGGUGUCCCUUUACGAAUUGUAGUUUAAAGAAGUGUUUUCUGUUGAGGUUUUGGUAAAAGUUCUUUGGAAUAGGACAUCAUAGAGGGUGAGAAUCCCGUAUUUGACCUUUACUUUCAACUUUGUGAUACACUUUCAAAGAGUCGGAUCGUUUGGGAAUGCAGUCCAAAAUGGGUGGUAAAUUUCAUCUAAAGCUAAAUAUUGGCGAGAGACCGAUAGCGAACAAGUACCGUGAGGGAAAGAUGAAAAGAACUUUGAAAAGAGAGUUAAACAGUACGUGAAAUUGUCAAAAGGGAAGCGUUUGACACCAGUGUUGUUUUUCUGAAAAUCAAUUAAAGAACUGUUUAUGCUAAGUUGUUUAGACUUUAUCAGCUAACUGUUUAGUUUUGAGCUUUUCUUUAAUGCACUUUUCAGUUAACAAGUCAACAUCAAUUUCUUUUGCUGUAAAAAAGCUUGAGGAAGGUGGCUUGAGAUUCGUCUUAAGUGUUUAUAGCCUCUUGCCUAUGCAGUCGGAGAGAUUGAGGUCUGCAGCGUAGAUCCUUCGGGGCUAAAUGCAUUUGUGCUAAGUUAUAGCAUUUUAUAGACAACUUGUUGACUAUGAUUUGUCUUGUAGCUUACUCGCUUAUGUUAUUUUACCUACGCUUAGGAUGUUGAAUCUGUGCGAGACUAC